GUAUAAUAUUAAAGCAAUGCAUGCAAUGCUUAGGCAGCAUAGAAUUUCAUAUUAUAAAGGUAUUUAAAAAUCGAUGAAUGACAAAGAUCAGCAUGUAAUACCAGAAAUUACUACGUGACCUAGGCUUAGAUUAAAAGAAAAUUGAUCCCCGAAUGUGUAAUAAUUGCGCAGGUAAAAACUGAUACUGUAGAUAACGCGUAUUGUUUACGAUGAUUAAGAAAUUAGAAGACUCUGAAAAUGUUUUUGCCGAUAACGCACCUACGUAUAUUGGCAAAAUUUCAUCAUCAUCAUCAUCAUCGUAAAAGAGAAGAUAUAAAUAUCGGCAAUAUUCGGCUCGUACAGCUACGACCCAAUCAAGCAAGUGUUCGAACCGAAGAAAGAGAGCCACGACCGACCUCAGAUCGUGAACAGCUCGUACGUGCUAUCGACGGCAGUCGGGAUCACCGACGACCACCACCAUCACCACAACACCAGCGAUGCCAUCUACAGGCACCACGUCACCAUCGUCACUCCACGUCCUACGCAGUGGUGGGCGCGGAAACUUCCCAAAAACAUAACCAAUAUACGUGGCGGCGGCACACACUGAUUAAAAAGCAAACUGUUUGAUUUUUUUUGUUCUUGUCGAUUGGCAACAAAACAGCCAUACUGAAAUACUAAAAAAUAAAAAAGCAGCGCGUAAUGGUUAGAUAUUAUAGGUGUAAAAUCUAUCUAUAUAAAUAAAAAUGAAUUGAUGUUCGUUAGUCUGAUUAAAACUCGAGAACGGCUGGGCCGAUUGAGCUGAUUUUGGUUUUAAAAUCUUUGUCGUAGUCCAGGGUAGGUCUAAACGGUGAGCAAAUACGCGCGCGAUAUUGUUUUUCUGUGACAGACAAAAUUCCACGCGGGCGAAGCCGCGGGCGGAAAGCUAGUUAAAAAUAAAGAUCAGCCUAAAAACGUGCACUAACCCCUAUGGUAACACAUAACAGAAAUUUUGUUGCAUAUGGGUUACUUAAAAAUUAGGGAUUGAUGGUGAAAACGGGCAUUAGACACUUUAAUCUAAUACCUAGGCACUUUAUAGAUUACAACACGAUACAGUAGGUACUUCUUCGUUUCGACUUCGAAUCGUCUGCGUAUUCGAAGAUAUUCGAUACCCAGCGUUCGAAUUCAACGAUAACGUACCUAACGAUCUCAAUCGUUCUUAGAUCGUAUCUUCUGUAAUUCCAGCUUACAUGUAAUGGAGUCACAAAUCACCUUUCAAACUUUAUGAUGGAAAUAGAAGCAACUGGACUAUUGCUAGGGCACCUUUAUGACGUAAUACCACGCAUGUGACUACAAGGGCGGAAGCGAGUAAACUAAAUUUAUGACGGUCACCGUGUCAAUCUUAAUUCUACAUUGGCGCCUGUUACGUGACAUUUCAGCUGCUGGGGAAUUGAUAACAAGUAUUAUUUAAUUACCAAACUAGACAAUUUGCGAUGAAUAAACCUGUGCACAAGAACACAUUCAGGUUUGUGAUUGGUCUAAAUACUUAUUAAAUUCUAUUGUGCAUAACUUGGAUUGAGGAUUCGGUAAUUGGUUUCAAAAGGCGCUUUUACACUGCGCGGAAAUUAGCCAAGUCAAGUCAAAUAAUCAGUGGGGUGGGGAUGAAAAAUGAAUGAAUUUCAUCCCCACUCCACUGUUUUUUUGACUUGACUCGGCUAAUUUCCGCGCAGUGUAAAUCCGCCAAAAUGGUUUCAAUAUUUAAACCAAACCCAGAACAGAAUAUAUGAAUCGAAAUGUGUUGAUCGCCUCAACUCUUGCUGUGUGACAUAAUAUACGGAUCUAAUUCGCCCAUAAAAUUGUCCGUGAGAAUGACAGACUAAUUGACUUUAUCGUUGGACCUUCGCGACGAGUUUAUCGUGACUCGGGAGCAUGAUUGAUACAAUAUUAACUUGAUCCCUAAUAUAAAUGCUAACAAUUCCGGUUUGUCUGAAAAUGCAUUACAGUAUUAUUUUAGAAAGAGAUCGGUAAAUAUGAUGUCAUACAAUUCCUUAUUUUGUGAAUGAAUAAUAAUUAAAAAAUAACAA